ACUGUGGGUACAGAUUGUCAAUUUACAUCCAUGUGGACUGUACUGCAAAACUGUAGACACGGUACAGUUUAUUUAUUUUUCUCCCCCCUGAUUUUCAGGACAAUGACCGCAAGAGGGAGUUAAACCACCUUUUAACAUGAUUUAUAUCAUUAGAAAACUGAUGUACCAAAUGCAUUAUAUAGGCUACACAGUAAACCUCUGGUUAUAAAAAUCUGCACAGACAUCCUAAACUCAUAAAUUAUUUAUUUAUUAUUACAGGGACUGCAGAAUAUCCCAUUCUUAAAUAACUACAACACACAAACAGGAUACAUCAUUGAUUAUUAUCUGGGUCGGAGCCGAUUAGAAGCAGAAUAUGGGUGGGAACAAACUCUGCUGUCUCCUGUGUGUUUGGGGAAAAGAGGGGGAGGACAGAGGGAACAGGCAAGACAAACUCCACCGUUUAUAACUUAUAGAAAAACAGCUUGACAACUUAUUAUGAAGAUGGGAACAAGCCCAAAUAAGCGACUACACUUUAGAAACAAGCCCCUAAAAACGCGACCCGCAACUACCAACAUUUGUAAGCGACUUAAACAGAAAAUCGAGCCCAAAGCCGCUUAUAAUAAACGAACUUGGCAAUAGUGCUUGUUUUCCAUCAUUUCGAAUUCACUACAUAUCCCAUGUCCCUAUGCGGCCGAGACGUCGCGUUCAACCAAUCAGCGGUAAGAAGCACUGUAUAAAGAGGUGCGUCACGUUUUUUCCGUCCUUCCUUGAGCCGCGUUCAUCACACAGUGUGGAGUUGGAGCCUAUUUCACCCACCAUGAUGUUCAUCUAUCCACGUUGCCGCAGAGGUACAUUUUAUUAUUGAAGUUAAUUUUAAGCGUUUAAAACUGCAGCACGUUCGGGCACUGGCGUAUUUAAGUGUGUAAUUUGCACUAAACUGGGGUCUGUGAGUUUGGUCUUUACUGGUAGUUUAUGCGCACAGAGCAGAUUUGACGCACGUGCUCAACUCCCAUUGAAACUUUCAUCAGUCCAAAUUGGUCUUUGUGGCCCUUAUCGAAGCCGUUCCUGUUCAUCUAUAGCAGGCGCGGUCAAACAGGAGCCAAGAGCAACACUUUGACCGACGGUCGCUGUACAGUUCACCUGUAGCUGUCUCGGCAACAUAAAGGCAAAGGAUAACAAACCUGUGUUUGUCAUGAUGUGCCGGUUUUUAUGUUGUGUGUCUGACUGUUGUUUCUAUUCAGGUCUGAUGGCGCAGAUGUGGUUGACCGUGUCUUCAGAAGGAUGAGUUGAGUGAACAGCUGGUAUGUUUCGCACUUAUUUUUAAUAUUGUGAUGGCUAAUCUAAAUGUAUUGACAAGUAUCUCUUUCUACACAGGGAAGAUUUGCUUCAGUCCAUAGUUGUGUUAGGAUGAUGUGAAGGACUGCAGUAUGCCGCCUCGCAGAUGGCAGUGAGAUGAGAUCACUUCCUGAAAGGACUCUAGUAAGCUUGAGGUGACGACAUGGGAUCUCUGGAAUGGGAUGAUUCAAUGCCAGGUGUGAGCUUCACCUGGAUCUGAAGGAUGCAACAUGAAUGCCGUUCUGUGCGGUUUCAAGUGGACUGGAAUUUGUGAACAGCCUUUAGGCAGUUUUCUUUGUUUCAAUAAAACGCAAUCUAGAAGUUGAA